UAACUUAUGUAAGUUCCGCGCUUCGAUUCUUUGGACGCUCAAAACCAUGAUGUCUUUCCAUUCAGGGCUCAGAUGCUGAUGUUUUUAGUUCCUCAAAACGGGCAUUGGAGUAAGAAGUGAAGGUAUGGCCACAUCAGGCGAAGCGUGGCGAGUGGAAACCGGUGACUACCUGGGAGAUGUCUCGGCCCUUUGUUUUCUGCAUUGUCCAUGGGAGUCAUCUGUUCCUUAUCUACUAGCAGGCACAGGAGCACAACUCUUUGUAUAUGACAUCGAGCAUGGAAAAUUGCUUUCUUCAUCCCAUGUAUUUGAUGGUAUUCGAGUGCAUGGAAUUCAUUCAUCUUGUUAUUUACUUAAAGAUUUUGACACUUCCACUUGUGUAAGGAUUUCUGCGGUCACUGUUGCAGUUUUUGGGGAAAGAAGAGUCAAAUUAUUUGAUGUACAUCUUAGAGGAAAAUCGGGUAGCAAUAAUAAGCUUAAAGGGCAUAUUAGUUUGGAUUUGUUACAGGUCCUGCCUACCUUUGGUCAUUGGGUCAUGGAUGUUCGAUUUCUGAAGGGGUUAGACAAAGGGGCCUUGAAGCAGAAUUAUGGGACUGAAGAAAAGAUUAUUGGCAGUUUGCUUGCUAUUGGCCUAAGUGAUAAUUCUGUUUAUCUCUGGGAUAUUGGUCAAUCAUGUUGUGUGCUUGAGGUGAAAUGCGCAGAGAGGUGCCUUUUGUAUUCUAUGAGUUUGUGGGGUGACUCAGUAAAGACUCUUUGUAUUGCAUCUGGUACGAUCUGUAACGAGAUUCUGAUUUGGAAAAUUGUUUCCCAACAAACUGGUGCUGGUGAAGUAAGUUUAGAGGUGCCACCUUGCACUGACACUGAUACUGAGUGCACAAAUAAAAUAUGGCAUAUUCAACAUAGUUCUCUUUUAUUGAAUAGACUCACUGGGCAUGAGGGAUCAAUUUUUCGAAUUGCAUGGUCACAUAAUGGAUCAACACUUAUCUCUGCCUCUGACGAUCGCAGUGCCCGUGUAUGGAUAUGCAACUUCACUGGGACAGAUAUUCAUGAUGCAUGGACAACAUCUUAUCCUACCAUAGUUGCAGGACCAAUACUUUUUGGUCACAGUGCUCGUAUUUGGGAUUGCUACAUCUCUGAUGUACUAAUUGUUACAGCCAGUGAGGAUUGCACAUGCUGCAUUUGGCAACCAAAUGGAGAACAUGUUACGACUAUCAGGGGACAUAUUGGAAGAGGUGUUUGGCGAUGUGUAUAUGACCCAGGAACCUCUAUUCUCAUAACAGCUGGAUCAGAUUCUUUAAUAAAGAUGCAGUGUCUGACAAAGCAGACUGUGAAACACAUGUUACAUACAACUGUAAAGGAUAAUUAUGUCGAUGACAACAUGGAGAUCUUCAACAUUUGUUUGCUAGGAGAUGUAACAUUGGAAAGUCCUGAUUUUAUGGAUAGUAAGAGUGAAUAUGUGAGAUGCUUACAAUUAGCUCAAGAAAGAUGUCUGUAUGUUGCAACCAACCUGGGAUUUCUACAUUGCAUUGACUUGACUGUGCCUGGGGAGGAAAAAUGGACUACUAUAGUCAAGAGUGAUGAUAAGGUGCCCAUUGUUUGCUUGGAUUUACUUGUCUUGAAGUCCCCCAAAUCCCCAGAAUUUCAAGAAGAUUGGGUUGCAAUAGGUGAUGGUAAAGGAAGAGUGACUGUUGUCCAAGUUAUAUCUAGUAAUCUUAAGCACGAGGUCUCAAGCACUUUUGUGUGGUCAUCUGAACGACAAAGGCAACUUCUAGGGAUUUACUGGUGUAAGUCCUUGGGAAAUAGGCAUCUUUUCACAACAGAUCCCAAAGGAAGAAUAAAACUGUGGAGGUUGAGGCACCCAUCUAGAGAAUUAAUUCAAUCACGUGAAAUGGUUGAAGGGAAUCUUCCAGAGGAGGCCCAGGCAUCUUUAAUUGCCGAGUUUGUCUCAAACUUCUCAGCACGUAUUGUUUGCAUGGAUGCAGAUAUUGAAAAUGAGUUACUUGUUUGUGGUGAUCAACGAGGGAAUCUUGUUGUUUUUAAGUUGUCCACGAAACUGCUUGCACUUGAUCUUAAUGACACGAUUUUGCGAGAAACGUUUCAAGCAUAUUGCUCAUUUAAAGGAGCUCAUGGCAUAUCUAGUGUGGUUAGCAUCUCAGUUGCAAGAUCAAAUGGAAAUCAAAUCCAUAUUUGUUCGACAGGCAAGGAUGGAUGUAUCUGUAGCUAUAUAUUUGAUGAUGACACUGCCCAAGACUCAAAUAAAUUGAUAUUCACUGGAAUUAAAGAUGUACCAGAAAUUACUAUGGUUGAAGGUGUUGUUAAUUACAUAAAUGUCAUGGGAGAUGGGAUUCAAAGGAGUUUUGCAGCAGGUUUUACAUCUGUAGACUUUCUUUUAUGGGACAUAACAAAUGAGUCCGAGCUUUUACGAGUUCCUUGUGGGGGCUGGAGAAGGCCUCAUUCAUAUUUCAUUGGAGUGAUGCCAGAAAUUCAGAAUUGUUUUGCCUAUUUAAAGGAUCACACGAUUUAUGUACUCAGAAAUUGGGUUCCGAAUGAUCAAAUAAAACUUUCUCCUCAAUCUUUACACACACAGUUUCAUGGGAGGGAGAUUCAUUCGGUUCAUUUUAUUCCCAUGCUGUCUAGCUUGUUUUGUAGUCAGAAUAAUCUUUCUUGUCCCAAAACGAGCUGGAUUGCUACAGGGAGUGAAGAUGGAACUGUACGCAUAACAAGGUAUUCCUCGAAGCAGAUGGACAAGUUGAGCCUAUCCUUAUUGCUUGGGGAACAUGUGGGUGGAUCAGCAGUAAGAUCAGUUACCAUUGUCUCAAAGAUUUAUCCUUUAGAAUUGGAUGGUCAUAGAAUACAAGAUAGUCAUAGUUGCAGCAUGGAAAACAAAGAUAGUUUAUUGGUGUUGCUAUCUGUUGGAGCCAAGCAAGUUUUAACAAGUUGGUUGCUGAAAUGGGUAAAUGAAAGUGAUGAUGGCUAUGAGAACGAACUAUCUAAUAAAUUGGACCCUGCAUGCACAUCAAAUUUUGAAAAAUAUUCAUCAGAGAGAAACCAUAAAAUUUCUUUCCAAUGGUUGAGUACAUACAUGCAACCAAGAUUUCACAAACCUCCUAAGAACCUGGGAGGUGGAGAAAAGCAGAGUCAUACAAAUGGUACUAUUCCUAGAAUAGUGAUACCAGAAGCUCUCAUGGAGCAUGCAUCAGAACAAGAUGGAAGUGGCGGAGAAAAGUUGAAGCCUAUCAUUGAUCAGGAGACUCAAGAUGACUGGAGGUACUUAGCAGUGACAGCUUUCAUGGUGCAUGUAACUGACCCCAGGUCAGUUGUCUGCUUUGUUGUAACUGCGUGUUCAAAUGCCACUCUUACCGUGCAAGCUCUCCUACUGCCAGAUCGUCUCUGGUUUGAGGUGGCUGUUUUGGAUCACGAGAGGGCACUGAUUUUAGCUUUACAGCAUGUUGUUAUUCCUGUCUACCAUCGUGGUUCUGACAGCACACAGAAUACGUUCCUGGUAUUUGGUGGAGCAACAACAGGGAGCAUUGUAGUGUGGGACCUGACAGACAUAGUGAAUGAUUUCACUUCGAAAAUUUCUUCUCUCAAUCCUGGAAAAGAUAUUGUUGCCCAACGGCGCCCACGAACAGGCAGAGGUAGUCAAGGUGGCCGUCGUUGGAGGUUUUUAAGGAACCAAAAUGGGAAUUCAAAAGAUACUGCUAGUAGAUCAGAUGCUGUACAUAUUGCAAUUUCCAAGCCAUUAUCAGACACAUUGCUGUCAGAAGAUGUGAGAGAGGAGAUCUCUCUGAAUACUUCAGUUAACAGAAGUCAGUUUACAUGCUCUGAGGAACAGGACCCAGAAAAUGAAUUAGAGGUUGCUAAAAAAUAUAAAAAGGGCUCUUUGAAGUGUCCAACUGAAUGUGAUACAAAUCCUGAUACAAGAGGCAGUCAUGAAGUGACAUCAAUGGGAAGGCUGCAUGAUGAAAUACAAAAGUUACAUCCUUUACAUGUAUUUGAUCAUGCUCACCAGUCUGGAGUCAACUGUCUCCACAUCUCGACUUUAAAUGGCAAUGAGAUGCUGAACACAGAGAAUUCGGAUCUGCUUUACUGUGUUGUUAGUGGAGGGGAUGAUCAAGCUCUACAUAUUGCAAGCUUUAAGUUGCAUGUGCAAGAAACUGAGAAGAAAAGCUUGGAUGCGCCUAUAUAUAAUGAGAGGAAAGAACCUUGUGCUUACAGUAGAAUUCAACAUUGUAGACUAGCUGAGCAAAUUAUUGGAAAUACCACAUCAAACACAACAGAUGACAAGACUCCAGGACUUAGAGUUGCAUACAAGUUCACUUGCUUAAGUCAAGAAGUAAUCGGCUCUGCCCACAGCUCAUCUAUUAAAGGUGUGUGGACAGAUGGGCACUGGGUUUUUAGCACUGGUCUAGAUCAACGCAUUCGUUACUGGCGCUUUUCAUGUCUCAAUGAAAUUUAUACUAUCAGAGAGCAUUUUAGCUCAAUUAUUAAUGUUCCAGAACCUGAAGCAUUACAUACUAUAGUUCAUGAAAAAAGAACCCAUUAUCAGAUUGCUAUAGUUGGAAGGGGCAUGCAAAUUGUUGAAUUUUCAAAUAACAUUGAGAUUCAAGAUACACAUGAAGAUGCCGAGAACCUGAGAUAUAAUUGAGAAUUGUUUUCCUGUAAGUAUUUUCUGUAAACAUGGGUAUAGGAGGUUAGUGGUAACACAAUGAAAUUCUUAAAUUGCUUUAGAGAAUUUAAAGAAUAAAUUUGAUUGGAUUUUAUGGUUUUAGUAAAUGGGAUCCUUUGAUCUGAGAGAACUGUUGGUUGGAAACUUGGUUUGUUGAAGCUUCAUAAGUGUUAGUGAAGUUUCUGCUAUUCAUUAUGAUGGUAUUUUCACUGAGAGACUGAGAGUCUUCUUACAACUUUUCACACUCUUGUCUUUGCUGUAAAAGGUACAUCUUGAGCAACUACAUUUCACAUCAUCAGUUUUGAACCAGGACUGGCAUUACAGGUUUUUUUUGACACCUAUCACAUCAAAGCUCUCUUGUUAAAUACAAAGAGGUUAAUUAUUAGAUCUGAACUUGAGUUGGCUAGUAUGCACAGUCUAUAUUUCUCUUAACCUUUAUUUUUGUAAGCAACAGAUAUAUAUUUCUAGUCACUAAUGUUCUAGUAUUUACCACUUCCACAUCCAACACAUAUAUUCCUAGAUCUUGCUGUCAUCCACUGAUCACAUUAAUUCCUUAUUUCUCUUUUUUAAAGCACCACUCCACUCUUCCUUGUCUUUAACUUCACUAUUCCUUCAGCCGUUUUCUGAGCGCUUACCAUGUCUGAGUUUGAUCAUCAAAGUGUCAUAGGGGCAGAAAUGAUCUUAAUUCUCUGACAACACAUUACUUCUAUAAUGAAGCUCUUGAGUAGAAUGAGAGUCCUUAGGGACUACACUGCCUACUUUGGUAGGUCAUUCUCCUUUCACAGCAUUCUGAAACCAUGCAAGUUUGUUCUGUUCAGAGCUUCUUUUAAGCCACUAGGAGGAGACAGCAAAGAAAUUAAAAUAGAUUGGGUGAGCAUUGAUGCUGCUGUUAUUGUUGAUAGCAUUAUUGGUAAGACUUAUAGCAAGGGCGCUAAUCCUUUUCCACCCUUCAUUCAACCCCUCACUGUUGCUCUGUCCUCUCCUGAACUCUUCAAGCAUUCUAGGUUUGAUUCCCAUUGCAAAAUCUUAACUUGAGCUCAUCAUUCCAAAUUUUCUGGGUCCACUAUUUGUGCCUCAUUAUUUCUGCCAAUCAUAUUCCAACCAACUCUAUCAAGUUAAUCUAGAUUUUUCUACAGAUGUAAUUCUACAAGGAGCUCAAGGCAAUAUAAUGAUUCUAUAAAUUGGCAUACUAGAAGGGAAAGGUGAACAAAAAGCUGGUAAUAUGUCCCUAUGUUCAUUACUACGAGAGACAUGAGAUAAAGAAAAGAUCUGAAUCUGCAAUUAAUAAAAGAGCAAGGAAGUGAGGAUAACUUACUUAAGAAUAUUUUUGUAGAUGAUGAUGAACAUCUGGCUGAUUAUGGAAAGCAGGGGCGUCUCUCUACUCUGCUGCAUCUCCAAGCAUUCCCCAUCCCAAAGAUGCAAAUCUAACCCAGGUAAUGGUGUCUGCUCCUGUCCAAAAUAUGACUUCCGGAUCACAUCACCCUAAGGCUCGUCAGUGUCAACAAAUUUUAUCUGUCUUUCUAGCUUUUAACUUUAGUGCUAAAGCCUGAGCUUCUGUAGCCCCUACUUUCACCAGGUUUGGACUUAAUGCCUAUUGAAGUUACCCUUUUAAAUCUCCCAUCCUUCUACUCCCAUUUUCAGUCUAUCUACCAGCAUUCCAGCCCAUCUACCACUAAGGUUACUCAGAUCUUUAAACCCCAAAACACUUGCUCUAACCCUGUGAACCCUAUGAAAUUUGUAAAAAACAAUCCCAAUCUUCAUGCUAUUUUAGAUGAAACUGCUGAUACAAUUUAUAUUCAAAGCAGGAACUUCCAGAUAAAAGGGCUGUAAAACCCUUAUUGUGAAGUUGGGCUAGUGAGACUUGUUUAUGUGGAUGGGAACAGUAAAAAAAAGAAAACCUCUGAACUUACAUAGAGAGACCAAAUGUGAUCAUUGAGCAACAUGAGUAGACCGUACAGCCCAUCAAUUCCCUUUAUGUCAAAGAAUGCAAAAAGAAGGAUCAUUGAAAUAAUUCAAGAGAAGCUGAACUCCCAUCACUCCUAGAGAGACAAGCUACAGAGGAAAAAGCGCAAUCAAUGCCCCAUGAGGGGCACCACUUGGCAGUAUCCUUCCAUGUAACAGCACACCACAUGGCAUCUACCUCCUGGCAGCAGCAGUACACACUCGAGGAAAGUCACUAUAACUACAAAUGGAUUUCCUUUUUCUGCUAAUCAAUGAAUACUACUACCGACUUCAAUUUUGUAUGUCUGUCACUUUCACCUUGCAAGAUUCUAUUCUAAUCCGGAAGGGUACUUGUUAGCAAAUAGUAGUGCAUAUGCAUUUAACUUUGUAAGCUUUGUGUAUGCAUAUAACUUUGUAAGCUUUUGCAUAAUCUGGUCGAUGUAUUCACCUAUAUCAUAUUGUGCCUUUCUAUUAGCAAAACAAUGCCAUUUUCAAUGCAAAAAUCAGCUGGGCAGUGAGCAUAGUCCUUUGCAGCCAGCCCACCCUGCCUUACCAAAAGUUUCUGCAAUUUUCAUGUAAUCUCUCUGGUUUUGUCCUUGUCAGGCACUUGGCUGAUUGUUGCUUUCUAGGCGGAAACUAUUGAAUAACAUAAUUAAAGGAUACAAUAGUGUUCAAACUAGAAACUGUUCUGUAAGGAUCCUGUUUCUCAUGAAACUGAGGAGAAAUGGCAACUUGAAUGUUCUAUUAUACUGGAUUGAUGAAUGAAUUUCUAUGCCACCAUUAUGAUGAAGUUGGGUUGGAGAGAGCACCAAGGAAAAUAUAAUUCUGAUCUUAUUUGAUUGAGAUAAUGAUAAACAGAUUUUUCAGUUGGAAUAAAAAGUCAAUUUUGUGAUCUUUGCUAUCAAAUAUUCUGUAUCAUAUGCCCAAUUGUAUACUUAAAUAAGGAGAUUCAUGUCUUUUGUGAUCUCACCCUCAUGUACGGGACAUGCCAUUUGGCUUGUUCACUAAAUUCACCCUCAAUAAUUAUUUCAAUUAUAGAUCUA